UACAGAGGGUGCGAGCGUUGUUCGGAAUUACUGGGCGUAAAGCGUGCGCAGGCGGUUGUGCAAGACAGAUGUGAAAUCCCCGGGCUUAACCUGGGAACUGCAUUUGUGACUGCACGGCUGGAGUGCGGCAGAGGGGGAUGGAAUUCCGCGUGUAGCAGUGAAAUGCGUAGAUAUGCGGAGGAACACCGAUGGCGAAGGCAAUCCCCUGGACCUGUACUGACGCUCAUGCACGAAAGCGUGGGGGAGCAAACAGG
rnacentral:rRNA from 1 species